UAAAAAAAAAAUUAAAUGCCAGUGGUGAAAUAUAUUUUAUUUACAAAAGUUAUUCCAUCCUUUUUCAGAUGUAGAGAUCACACAAAAAGGAAAAUUUAAUGUUGCUGCAGGACUAGAAAAAUUUGAUAAUGUUUUAUCUCCGGUUCGUUAAAAAAUAUUUUAAUCGUAAAGAGAGCAAUGGUUUUGUCAAAAUUUUGUGACAUAGAAAAGUGGAUGGUGAUUAUUUUAUACUGGAAAACAUUCAAAUUUAAAUCUGUUGUAAAGAUUAAUUUUAAUUUUAUAAUUGGGAAAUCAGGGUGGAUUUAUCUUCUUUUGGAGUAAAAUGCUUUUGAUAUUGCUAUGGAUUUUAAAUUACUGUAAAUUCAGAAAUUAUUGUUUUUUUUCCUCCCAAUGUAAAUAGUGUGACUGGGUGAGUAUAGCAAUAAUAAGAACUUGAAUUCUGAUAUAGGAUAGAUAUAUAUAUGUAUGCAGAUUUUUCUGGAAUCGCAAUAAUUAGUCUCAUUUUCCAGCCGUUCAUCAAAAAUCACAAUAAUAAGUUUAUAGCUAACUAUUUACAUCCUUUUUCAGAUGCCGACAUCACACAAAAAGAUUAAUUCAAUGUUGCUGCAGGACUUUGCUGUUUUAUCUCAGUGUGGAACAGAAAUUGAGAUACAUUGAUGUCAAAAAUUCUGGAGACUUGAGAAUGAGAAACAACAUUUCAUCAACAGAACUGAUGAAAAUAGCAAACAGGAAGUUGUCAAGAGAUUGUUACCUCAAGUCUGAAAAGGUUCAAUGCAAAUUAAACACGAGCUUCAUUCAAUGCUGGCCUCUGUAUUCACAAAGUGCCAUGAUUAGAUGAAACUUGAUGGGAAGAAAUUUACUUGAUGUUUGGGUUAUGUUUGAUGGUUCCAAUUCUGGAUAUUUUGGAAAAAAAGGUGAAAAUGAAGGAAGGACAUCAACACACACACCAUCAGUUUUAAAAGAGAGAGACUCGGUUACAAAAUAUAAUGCCAGAACUAAUUUGCUGUGAUAGUAUAUGGACUAGAAAUACUAAUUGGCUCCGGAACAAGUUGUGCAAGGGAAGAGACUUAAAAUAAAACAACAGACUCAGGAAUAUGUUGUGCAAAACAAGAAACUUUUAUUAAACAACAAAACAAUAGGAUAUAAUCAGUGAUGAAAUAAAAACUUUGUUUAGCAUGAACUUUUUUAUUUAUUAGUUAUAAAAUUGAGGAGAGAAAGUCAAUUAUAAUUUUCAAAAAUGAUUUUCAGAAAUGUGUGAAAGGAACAGAGAGAGAGACAGCUAGGUUUUGUCAUGAUUAAAUUUGUUCAUUUUAAAGCUCACUGCUUAUCUUCAAUGUUUGAUUAAAAAUUUGUUUUUUUCUUUAGAUCUGUUGAGUCGUCAUGUUAAAAUGUGAGAGAGGAAGAAUAUUCAGUUGUAAAUAUUUAUCCUGUUUCAACCAUAAAGCUCAUAAUAUUAUUACCAUUUUUUUUAACAAGCAGUUUGACAAUAGACAGUCACUCCUGGUUUUUUUUUUUUUUUUGCAUUUAUGGUUUAGACAAGAUUAGUCUAAGAGGAAGGAAAAAUGCAGUGUAUGAAAGAGAGAAAGAAGGACUAUGUAAAGGUCUAUUCUUUUUCAGCAAAACAGCAGGUUCUUCGUUACAACUUUUUGUAUUGAGAUAAUCAAGCACCUGCCAAUUUGUUUAAAUUGGAUAAAUCUUGGAUGAGUAUAACAUUGUGUAUGGAAAACUGUAUCUUUAAAUAUGCAUUUCAGACACACUUAGAAUAUUACAUAUUAGAAAAUUUAGAUGCUAAAUAUUCAUUUUAUAUCUAAAUAAUCACAAUCAUGCUAUAUAUUAAGUGUAUCAUUUUUCUAAAUAUUUAUUUUCAAGUUUUCAACACAGGAAGUGUAAUCUAAGUAUGAUGAAUGAGGAGCUAAUAGGUUUAAAAUGGGCAAGGGGAGGGAAUAUACAUAUUUACCUCCUAAUACUGGUUGCUUCCUUUGAUGAAAGUUGAUUUAUUAUACAGUAUAUUUAAGGGUUCAUCAAAUGUUAUCAAAAUUUGCCAUUUUAAUUGUAGAGCUUAGUAAAAAAAAAAAAAAAAAAAAUAAAUAAAAGAAACAAAAAUUAUAAAAAAGAAGAAACACUGUUAUCUAAGUUCUAGGAAAUGGCAGUAUGGGUUGUUCUGAAAUUUAUAAGAUGUAUUGGAUCCAAAAGUCUUCUUAUAACUUAAAUGCAUCUGGUGUGUGUGUGAGGGAGCAAAAAAUAUUUUGUGAAGGUUUAUUCUCUUUCAGCCAAACAGCAGGUGCUUCUUACAAUUUUCAGUAGAUGUCUCAAAUGAGUUACCGAAACCUGCCAGUUGGUUUAGAUAAGAUAAAUCUAGAAGCAGAAGAUAGUAUUUUUAGAUGCUAAUUUUUAUUUGAUUUUUUAGGCUUGAAUCUAUGAACAAAGAAUAUACACACUGAAUAUGACAUGGAUUAAAAUUUUAUUAAUCAGCUCUCAUUUUUUUUUAAACAUUACAGUCCUGUUCUAUUCUAUGUGUAUUAUAUCAUUUUUUAAACUUUUCAACACAGAAAGCAAAAUCCAGGUGUGAUGAAUGAGGAGCUUAAAUAGAGUGAAGUUUAAGGCAAGGGGAGGGAAUACACCUAUUUACCUCCUUAUUCUGGUCGCUUCCUUUGGUGAAAGGUAAUUAAUUAGACAUCUAUAGGAGCACAUCAGAUGUAAUCAACAUUUGCCAUUUUGAAGAGCUUAGUAAAAAAAAAAAGUAAACUAAGUUCUAGGAAAUAGCAAUAUAUGGGUUGGUUUGAAAUUUAAUGAUAUCGUUUGGAUAUAAAAUUCUUUUUACAGUUUUAAUUCAUCUGAUUUGCAUAUGUGAUAGAGAGAGAGAACAAGACUUUGUGAAGGUUUAUUCUGCUUCAAUCUAACAGCAAGUGCUUCUUUCGUCUUAUUGCAGUCAUCUCUUAUGAGCAAUUUUCAAUAAAAUAACUAAAACCUGUUAAUAGAUUAAGAUUGAAUAAAUCCAGAAAAAGGGUCAAGUAUUUUCAAUCUAAUUGAAAGUACUAAAAAAUCAAUUAUUUUCAUUAUUUGGAUUAAGUUAAUAUUGUUUUAUUAUAGACAUUUUUCAUAAUUAGUUGUUAGAUGAAGAUGGAGACCAUGAUAUUUUAUUAAAACAUUCAAAUGUUUUUUUUUUUAAAUUAAAAAUUCUUUGCUGAUAAUUUUUAAAAGAAGCUAUUACAAAUUUGACAAAUAUUUACAAUGGAAUGAAAAACAGCUAUUAUCUCCCUUUAUCAAGACACACUUUUUACAAUAAAAGAAAACAUGUAUAAGAAAGCGAAAAUAUUUUAAUAAUUUCUAAAUUUGCAUAUUUGUACUUUUUUUUUUUUUUUUUAACUCAUAAUGAUUUUUUUUUUAACACUAGCUCAUGAUCUUUGCUAACUAUUUUUUGUUCACAACACAUGGAAAGUAUACCAAUUCGUUUUUUUUCUGUCUUUGUAUGCAAAGAUGAGUGUUUUUAAGAAUAAUUUACUCUUUUUGUAUUACAAAGUUGCAAUCUAACCAAACCGUUCACUGAUUAUUACCAGCUAGAGACCAUUUGUUAUAUAUAUAUAUAUAUAUAUAUAUAUAUAUUAGACAUGUUUAGACUUGUUCAUAUAUAUAUAUAUAUAUAUAUAUAUUGCCAGUAAUAAAAUUUACUUAAGAGAAAUGCAGUCAGCUUCUAUGUUAAUAUGGAAUAA